rnacentral:rRNA from 1 species
AGUCGAACGCGGUUUUUCGGAACUGAGUGGCGGACGGGUGAGUAACACGUGAGAAUCUGGCUUCAGGAUGGGGAUAACAGCGGGAAACUGCUGCUAAUACCCGAUGUGCCGAGAGGUGAAAGAUUUAUCGCCUGAAGAUGAGCUCGCGACUGAUUAGCUAGUUGGUGGGGUAAGAGCCUACCAAGGCAACGAUCAGUAGCUGGUCUGAGAGGAUGACCAGCCACACUGGGACUGAGACACGGCCCAGACUCCUACGGGAGGCAGCAGUGGGGAAUUUUCCGCAAUGGGCGCAAGCCUGACGGAGCAAUACCGCGUGGGGGAGGAAGGCCUUUGGGUUGUAAACCCCUUUUG